CCCUUAGAUGUUCUGGGCCGCACGCGUGCUACACUGAGUGGAUCAGCGGGUCAGGUUGCGCGAAAGCGUUUCCUAAUCUUUAAAUCCGCUCGUGAUGGGGAUUGACGGUUGCAAUUUUCUGUCAUGAACAAGGAAUACCUUGUAAGCGCGGGUCAUCAUCCCGCGCUGAAUACGUCCCUGCCCUUUGUACACACCGCCCGUCGCUCCUACCGAUUGAGUGGUCCGGUGAGGCUUUGGGAUCUGAGCGGAAAGAGCGUUUCGCUGUUUCUGCUCGGAAAACUCAGUCGAACCUUAUCAUUUAGAGGAAGGAGAAGUCGUAACA
rnacentral:rRNA from 1 species